ensembl:lncRNA
UGUGAACGCACAAAUGUUUAUGUGAGAUUGCCAGCCGGUUAUUUAUGAGUCUCUCAGCCCUUCCCCAAUAAAAGCUGUUCCCUCAAUCUUCUGACAGGCCCCGCAUCUGUAACUAAUGUGUCACUCGCUCAGCUAAUGCAGUUCACUUGUGUUUAUUUUUGCACAAAAGCAAUUUAUCCAGCUACUCUGAAAAAAUGGCCCUGUCAGGAGCCUUCUUUGGAGCAAAGUGUCUUUCCUCAAAAGAAACUCCAAAUGGCUCGCAGUGCACGGCAGGCUUCUGGCGUGUGCGCCUGAACAGCUGGGAAGCCGAGACUGGUCGCGAUGUGUACCCUGCAUCAUCCCAGGACGUGGCUGGGACCUCAGGCUUCCUGAGCAAGCUGUCCCACGGGCUUCUCACACACUGGCUGCCUGAGCUGGGGGCAGCCAGCCCCUCUGCCGGGAGCCCGCUCCUCAGUUGGCUGCUUGCCUGUGCGCUGGGCACCUUUCCAGGCCCCUGCCAGCGUGCAGUCUUCCUUGGGGCUGCUGUGGAGCCCUGGCCCAUCCACCUCCUUGGAGGCAGCACAGAGCACGCGCAAAUGUUCACGCCUGGGGCGGGGGGAGCAGGCAGAUUUCAACGGCGUGCCUCCUGAAAACCACAUCAAAUGGUGCAGCUAGGGAUUAGUAAAUAAAUUUGGGAGACAAGUCAAUUACCGUCCCCCCGUGCCCCUGUCCCUGGGGGCAAACAGCAGCAUGUGGUCCCCAGCCUGAGCAUGCCUUCCCGGGGGCAGCCCCAGUGAGCGCUGCAGCUGGCUUCUGUCAGAUUAGCCGGGCGAGAUGUGACAGGCCUCUGUCCUCUGGGGAAAUGGCUCCAUUCCUGGGAGGUGGUGAGGACAUUCCCAGGUUGCUCUGUUCCUACCCUCUGCCUGCACCCCUCCCUGCCUCACUCCCCUCGUAGUGUCCAAACCACUGCCCCCUUACCACUCCACCCCAAGGCUCCUGCUCAGCCAGUCACAGGCCCAAAGUGCCACCAUUACAGCUGUCAGGUGAAGCUGCCAUGCCUUUGAAUGUGGUAGAUGCAUACACUGUGGAGGGCUACCUUUGUUGGUCUCUUCCAGAUGCAUUAGCACUAUUAUUAUGAAUUUAAAAAUCAGACUACUUGUUGCCUUAGAAAACAUUUAUCCACUCAGCAAAUACUUAAAAAUGCCUGCUUUGUGGCAGAGUUUUUGCUCAGUCGUGGAGAUACAGAGAAAAGAGACACCCUCUUGCUCUCUAGCAGCUUAUAGUUAUGUGGGAAAGUCAGACACUAAACAGACAAUUGCUAUGAGGGUACCUAGUUGAGCCUAGAGGGCUCCCCAGGUGGGUUCCUAAAUCGAUGAUGCUGCAUCCUGAGGGGAGAGUUGUCAUGGGGGGCAGAGGCUGGGGAGUGUGUUCCAGACGGAGGGAAUGGCAUCGUCAAGUCUCAGAGGCAGGGGAGGGCUGCGAGCUGGAUCACAGGGUGUGAAGGGAGUGGGGGUGAGAGAAGGUGCUGGAGGGGCCACCAAGGCUGGAUCACGUGUGGCCGUGAGAUAUCUAUCAUCUGUCAUCUGUCUAUCUAUUAACAGAGUUCAAUGUGGGGGGCAUGUAAACUUUCUUUAAGUCUUUUUAAAGCGGCUUAUGGAUUUUUUCAACCUUCCGUGUGUGUUAAGUGGACGGCAUGUUGUUUUUUUUUCCUAUUUAGAAACAACACAACUCCAUAGAACCCAUCAGACUACAAAGAGAAAGCAGCAGUCUUCGAAAUAUCAGAGCAGCAUCACAGAAAAAUGAGUCCGCCCUUGAUACUGACUGUCUCUGAGUUCUCUGUGGUUGCACCAUGUAGGCAUGUUCUUUAGAUCAAUGAUUUUCAAAUUUGAGUAUGCAUGAAGAUCACUUGGGAAAUUUAUUUGAAAUGUGGGUGUUUGUAGUCUAUCCUGGAGAUUCAGAUUCAAUGGGACCCAGCAAUGUGCAUUUUAAAGAAGCUCGCAUGGUAAAUUGGAGGUUAUCAGUAGAACACGCUUUGAGAAUCACUUUCCUAGAGCGUAUUUAAUCUUGGGGAAUUUGCUUGCAAUUCAAGAUCCUGCCACCAGAUGGCAGUGGUGCUUUGUGAUGGAUCGAAGCAAAAACCACUUUUCUACUGGGGAUGGUCGCUGGAGACAGUUCUUUGCUGCAAGAAUGUGUAGAAAAUAGUUAUUUUAGAUAAUUUCUAAAAUUAUUGGUCAUGAAAUAAUUUCAGAGCUUAAUUUUAAAGCUAAAUUUUCCUUUCAAACAUUAAAGCUGAACUUUCCAAUAGGGUGGCCGCUGGCCACACGUGGUUUUUGAGCACCUGAAAUGUGGUUGGUCUGAAUUGAGAUGUGCCGAAGUGUGAUAAACACACUGAAUGCAAAGGCAAAAAAAAAAAAAAAAACGAAAAAAAGAAUGUGAAA